CCUACGGGAGGCAGCAGUGGGGAAUUUUGGACAAUGGGCGAAAGCCUGAUCCAGCAAUGCCGCGUGCAGGAAGAAGGCCUUCGGGUUGUAAACUGCUUUUGUACGGAACGAAACGGUUCGCUUUAAUACAGUGGGCUAAUGACGGUACCGUAAGAAUAAGCACCGGCUAACUACGUGCCAGCAGCCGCGGCAAUACGUAGGGUGCGAGCGUUAAUCGGAAUUACUGGGCGUAAAGCGUGCGCAGGCGGUUAUAUAAGACAGUUGUGAAAUCCCCGGGCUCAACCUGGGAAUUGCAUCUGUGACUGUAUAGCUAGAGUACGGUAGAGGGGGAUGGAAUUCCGCGUGUAGCAGUGAAAUGCGUAGAUAUGCGGAGGAACACCGAUGGCGAAGGCAAUCCCCUGGACCUGUACUGACGCUCAUGCACGAAAGCGUGGGGAGCAAACAGGAUUAGAUACCCUGGUAGUCCACGCCCUAAACGAUGUCAACUGGUUGUUGGGUGCAUUAGUACUCAGUAACGAAGCUAACGCGUGAAGUUGACCGCCUGGGGAGUACGGCCGCAAGGUUGAAACUUAAAUGAAUUGACGG
rnacentral:rRNA from 1 species